UACGAAGGGGGCUAGCGUUGCUCGGAAUCACUGGGCGUAAAGCGCACGUAGGCGGCUUCUUAAGUCAGGGGUGAAAUCCUGGAGCUCAACUCCAGAACUGCCUUUGAUACUGAGAGGCUUGAGUCCGGGAGAGGUGAGUGGAACUGCGAGUGUAGAGGUGAAAUGCGCAGAUAUCAGGAAGAACACCAAUGGCGAAGGCAGCUCUCUGGGACGGUACUGACGCUGAGACGCGAAAGCGUGGGGAGCGAACAGG
rnacentral:rRNA from 1 species